rnacentral:rRNA from 1 species
AUUGAACGCUGGCGGCAUGCUUUACACAUGCAAGUCGAACGGUAACAGGCCGCAAGGUGCUGACGAGUGGCGAACGGGUGAGUAAUGCAUCGGAACGUGCCCAGUCGUGGGGGAUAACGCAGCGAAAGCUGCGCUAAUACCGCAUACGUUCUAUGGAUGAAAGCGGGGGACCGUAAGGCCUCGCGCGAUUGGAGCGGCCGAUGUCAGAUUAGGUAGUUGGAGGGGUAAAGGCUCACCAAGCCAACGAUCUGUAGCUGGUCUGAGAGGACGACCAGCCACACUGGGACUGAGACACGGCCCAGACUCCUACGGGAGGCAGCAGUGGGGAAUUUUGGACAAUGGGCGCAAGCCUGAUCCAGCAAUGCCGCGUGCAGGAAGAAGGCCUUCGGGUUGUAAACUGCUUUUGUACGGAACGAAACGGCUCUGGUUAAUACCUGGGGCUAAUGACGGUACCGUAAGAAUAAGCACCGGCUAACUACGUGCCAGCCGCCGCCGUAAGAC